rnacentral:rRNA from 1 species
AUUGAACGCUGGCGGAAUGCUUUACACAUGCAAGUCGAGCGGCAGCGCGGGGGCAACCCUGGCGGCGAGCGGCGAACGGGUGAGUAAUACAUCGGAACGUGUCCUUAAGUGGGGAUAGCUCGGCGAAAGCCGGAUUAAUACCGCAUAAGCUCUGAGGAGGAAAGCGGGGGCUCCGUAAGGACCUCGCGCUGUUGGAGCGGCCGAUGUCGGAUUAGCUAGUUGGUGGGGUAAAGGCCCACAAGGCGACGAUCCGUAGCUGGUCUGAGAGGAUGAUCAGCCACACUGGAACUGAGACACGGUCCAGACUCCUACGGGAGGCAGCAGUGGGGAAUUUUGGACAAUGGGGCAACCUGAUCCAGCCAUUCCGCGUGAGUGAAGAAGGCC